rnacentral:pre_miRNA from 1 species
AAAAAAAACAAACCCUGGUUUCCGUGUCUAACGUUUGACCGUUCGUCUUAUUUGAAAAAAUUAUAAAAAAAAUUAAAAAAAUAAGUCACGCAUAAAGUAUUAAUCAUGUUUUAUCAUCUAACAACAAUGAAAAUACUAAUUAUAAAAUUUUUUUAUAUAAAACGGACAGUCAAACUUUGGCACGGAAACUCAGAGUUUGCCUUUUU